rnacentral:rRNA from 1 species
UGGUGGAGUGAUUUGUCUGGUUAAUUCCGAUAACGAACGAGAUCUCAGUAUUUAAAUAGACAUAUCAAUCUUCUAAUGGGUGAAGCUGCUUAACAGACCUCUUUUAGGGGCCUUUGGGUGGUGGAUCCCUGACGAAUUGGUACUAUCUUCUUAGAUAGACUGCUUGUGGGUAACAAGUGGAAGUUUGAGGCAAUAACA